AUCCUUUUGUAGUUCCUAAGCAUGAUGACUGGAGUUCACAUGCAUGCCUGAGAUGUGCCUCCCUUGAACUUUGUUUUGACAUUGGCACACUACCUGUCUGAUG